rnacentral:lncRNA from 1 species
GGACCGACAUGCACUUCUCCACCCCCCAGCAGCUGUGUAACCUCCAGUGUGGAACUCGCGAUGUCCCUUGGCCCACCUUUGCCCAUGCAGCCGCUGAGGCCCAGACUCCAGGGACCUCAGACUUAACAGAGAGCUUUUCAGCCAAGUCUGGACCCCAUUUCCCUGCAAAGAUCACCUCCAGCAGAUGACAGGCCAAGUGAGGAUGGUCACUCCAGGUGCCUGUGUCUGAACUGGGGCUCUUGGCCCAGGUGGACUCCUCCUGGAGAUGGGACGUGGACACUGCCUCACCAGGACUGGGCAGCUGGGAGGGGGCCUGCAGCCCCUCUCCUGCCUUCUGUCACAAGUGGGGUGGUGGCUGAGGGAAGGUUUGCUCCUGGCUGACUGAGCCAGGCCCCCAUUUCUCCUUCCCCAGCUGCCACCUGGGGUACAGCACACUGAGACCAGGUGUCUCGAGAACAAGGAAGUGCCAGGGGUGGACUACUGGGGCAAAGUGGGAGACCGACUCACAUCUGGGCACCGAACGCCGUGACAGAGAAGGCCAGGCUCAGAGCGGGGGGGCCUCACCUGACCCUAGGCCGUGGGGCCCCGGCACCUUGUAGCUCUCCAUGGGGGCCCUUGGGCGGGGCUGGGGGCUUCUGGUUAGAAAGAGGGUCUUUAGCUCCUUCCUGAGUCCCCUGGGUGGGGCAGACAGAAUGGCUGGGUGGGCUGUCCCCUUCCUCAGAUGUCCUGGCCCCUGACCUGCCCUGUCUCAGCUUGGACAGCCUCCUUCUGGACACCCCAGCUUUCUCUCCAGGGUCCUGCAGGGACUCUGCUGAGAACCGGGGCUUCUGCAGGCCCCCCGGGCACCCACCCCGCACCAGCCUUCCCAGAGCUCAGGCCCCAGCCCAGCCAGUUCAG